rnacentral:pre_miRNA from 1 species
UAGGUAGUUUCGUGUUGUUGGGCCUGGCUUUCUGAACACAACAACACCAAACCACCUGAU